rnacentral:rRNA from 1 species
AGAACGAACGCUGGCGGCAUGCCUAACACAUGCAAGUCGAACGUGAUCCAGGCUUCGGCCUGGUGAAAGUGGCAGACGGGUGAGUAACGCGUGGGAACCUGCCCUGUGGUAGGGAAUAACCGUGGGAAACUGCGGCUAAUACCCUAUGAGUCCUUCGGGAGAAAGAUUUAUCGCCAUAGGAGGGGCCCGCGUCGGAUUAGGUAGUUGGUGGGGUAACGGCCUACCAAGCCUUCGAUCCGUAGCUGGUCUGAGAGGAUGAUCAGCCACACUGGGACUGAGAUACGGCCCAGACUCCUACGGGAGGCAGCAGUGGGGAAUAUUGGACAAUGGGGGGCAACCCUGAUCCAGCAAUGCCGCGUGGAUGAUGAAGGCCUUCGGGUUGUAAAGUCCUUUCGGCGGGAAGAUGAUGACGGUACCCGCAGAGAAGCCCGGCUAACUUCGCGCCAGCAGCCGC